UUUAUUUAUUUUUGUUUGUUUAUUUAAUUUUAAACCAAUGGUAUUAGAGAUAUUUCACCCUUUAAUGAAUGUCAUUUUUGUGACUUUCUCCUUCUAGUGCUAUUUUUGAGACAUAAACUUCAAAAGAUGCUAUUAUUGACAAUUGUCCUAUAAACAAGUCGCCUAGCCAAAACAAAUCCGAUUAAACUGCAAAAAAAAAAAAUUAAUUAAUGCAAAAAAUUUAAAUUUGAGGAGUAAUAAAAUAUUCUAAUAAAUUAGUUAAAAUAUUUAUAUGGUAUUUACUUUGUUAUAAAAAAAUAAAAAUCAAUAAUUAAAUUAAUUUUUACAAAAUGUGAAAAUAACUAAAACUUAUUAAAAAAAUACUCUAGUUCUUAUUAUAAUAUUUAGGGUCACUUUUUAAGUUUUUAUUACAUUGAAAGACAGUUGUUUCUACUGAGGUAGUUUCUUUUAACCAAAUCAAAACUAGAAGCUGCUUGUUUGGUUUCUUUUCUUUCCGGUUAACAAAAUUUAUUUUUAGUUGUUUUUUAAGAAAAAAAGAACAUAAAAUUUGAAGAUCUAAAAAUUAACAAAUGAGAGAGACGAUGUUGGCUUCCUCUGCCAAAGACACUCGUGGUCACCAUGCCAAAAUUUUGUACCUCUUCUGUCACAGAGUUUCUUGAACUGUGCCAACACUACGCAACCAUCUCCGCCGCGUAUCCUCCUUCUCUCGAUACACAGCCACAACCAAGCUUAAUUCUCCGUCGUGAAGCUUGUUCCUCGCCAUGAAUCCGUCGUGGUGGCCGUCGGGAGUCAUCCUCGCUUCAGGCUUCACGUCACGGAAGAGCUCGAGCAACAAUGGUGAAUUGUCUUCAUUUUGCGCAUUUGGUCCUCUAAUUAUAUAGUUGUUCUCCAUUUGACCUUAAACUCUCAAAAAUGGAAUAUAUAUCCUCGCCAAUUAACCCCAAAUUUCUAAGAGUACAUUUAAGCCCUUUUCUAAUUGUAUGAACGGUUCCUCACGAUUAGCUCUGGUCGCAAUUUGGCUCCAAACUCAUGAAAUUGCAGAUAUGUCAUUUAUAUUUGAUCCCAAACUUUCAAAAGUGCACUAUAACCCACAUUUUAUGCAAAUAAACACAUAAAUGCAAUAUACACACCUAAAUUCAAGCUAAAAUGAUCUAAUUAAACUAAAAUAAGAUGCUAAAAUCCAAUAAAUAUCAUGAUAUCAAGAUUUAUUAUUGGUCAUACAUGGAAAUGUGUAUAUAUGUACAUUCAAACAUGUGAAUGUACAUUAUAAAUAAAUCACAAAAUUAUACCAUAAAAUUUGUAAUAUAUUAUUUUCUAAUUAAAAAUAAUUAGAUAGUAUUAUAAUCAAGAUUUACUAUUGGACAUACAUGUGAAUAUGUACAUAUAUAUAUAUAUAUGUGUGUGUACACAUGUACAAAGAUUACAUGUGUUUAUGCUUAUAUAUGCACAUGUGUAUAUUAUCAAUAAAAUCGCAAAAUCGUAUCAUAAGAAUUAUAAUACAUUAUUUACUUAUUAAAAUAUAAUUAGACAGUAUAAUAAUCAUUAUUCAUACAUACAAUAAUUCUUAUGUAUUUAUUUUAUAUGUACAUGAUAUAUAAUAUGUAAACAAAAAAAAUUUACCAUCCACAUGUACAGCGAUAUACAUGUACAUCAAUUAAUUUGUGCAAUAAGGCAUAUGUACACCGGAUAAAUUUGGUAUAUAGAUUUGAAAGCUUAAAAGCUAAAGACAUCUAUGAAAUGCAAUAAAGAUAACUAAAGACACGUCGAAAUGACUUAAAUGUACAAAAACAAAAUAUUAAGUAUAAAAAAAAUCAUAAGAUAUAACUACAUAAUGUGUAGUUAAAAACGUUUUUCUUAAAAAUGAUGUAGACAUGGAGAGAAGGAAACUCAUAUGGUUGAGAGAAGGAAACUCAUAUGGUUGCUAUCAUAGAGCCUCCACAAAAUAUUAAGUAUAAAAAAAAUCAUAAGAUAUGAGCAGAAUUUGUGGUGUGCAUAAUAUAAUAAAUAAUAAUAUCUGAAAUCUAUAUUAUCCUCCUAUACAUUAAAAGAGAAGUCACUUUAGUGAAUUCUGCUCAUGUGGCAAUCACAUAGAGCUUCUCAGGAAAAUUCUUAUAAUUCUAUUGGCUGAUUUUUUGGAAUUUUUCUUUUUCAUUUAUUUUAUUCACUCGCCUCCGCGGAGUGGAAAAUGCCGUCGUAUCUCAUGAAGUUUUUUUUUUUUUUCAAUCGUGUAUCAAUUGAAGGGGGAUAUGGUUUCAAGCCGAUGAAGACAGUCCGACCAGAUGAGUUUGCUUCUCCACACUCUGAAGACUCAAUCAUAUCAAUCACGUCAAGAAGCGACAACCAUAUGAGUUUCCUUCUCUCCACCAUCGAUACUCUCGGAAUUUACAGAUUUUUUUGUUUCUCUGAUUGGAUUCGACUUUUAAACUAUGAGGCGAAGAUUUUUUGGUUUCUCUGAUUGGAUUCAACUUUUAAGCUAUGAUACAAAGAUUUUUUGGUUUCUCUGAUUGGAUUCGACAUAUGUUAAGCUAUAAACUACGAUCUGCUUAUUAACAUUUUGAAUCUUUGUAUCUAAUUGACUGAUUAACCUUUUGAGAUCGAAAGGUUGAAGAAGCUACAUACAUAAUCGUUAAACAACUUCAUUGACCAGGUAUUAUUAACUUCUUGAAGUUUUUCUACCUAUCUGUUUCUUGCUGUUGAGGUCUUGAUUCUCUUAAACAAUAACAUUCAGCUUCACCAUCGAACUAAUUGCCACGACCAGAGAAGUAUUUCGCGGACUGUCUACUGAUGGAACAAGAAGAGACAACUGACAUUUACAACAAACUUGGAUUUGACUUCAGUCUCUGAAGAAGGACUGUAAGAUUAUCUUCUCCUUAAUAACUCAACAAGCAUUUAGACAGUCCUCUCUUGAGAUUUUCAAGUUUGGUUUUCUGUUUCAUUAGCACGAUUUAGAGCUUCACAUUACUAAUUUAGUCAGUCUGUUGCAUCGCUAAUUGCAGCACGAUUUAGAGCUUCACAUUACUAAUUUAGUCAGUCGGUUUCAUUCCUUGCGGUUCCCGGUCUGUUGGUUUUCAGAUUUUCAAGUUUGGUUUUCGGUAAUAUUUGGGAAAGAUCUUCUUAAUUAGCUUUAAUUAUCUUAGGAGAGAAAAAAUGUCUUUAGCCUAUUUAGAAAAGCCCAAAUAUAUUGUCGAUUUAGUUAAGCCCAUAUAUUUAUUCGCUUGGGGGGAUAAUAAUUAGAUAACUUGCGCAAGAUUGUUAACUAAUUUGCAUAUUAAUUACUUUCCUUAUUAUUCGAAUCAAUUGCUUGCGCCGGUUGAUAUCAUAUUUAUUACAUUACUUGCGCAAGUUAAAAUCAUAUCAUAUGCAAAUCACUUUUUGACAAUACACAUUUAAUAUCUUUCUUUAAACGAUUUCAUUCUUUAUUAAGGAUCAUUAAUAUGAUAAAUAAAUCGCCUUUAUAUAUAUAGGACACACCCGAAUGCUUAAAAUACAAACAUUCAGCUCUUACAAGAACAAUGACAAUGGUGCGAGCCUCCAAAAAUAUUGUUUCUUAUGUUAGAGAAUUAAAACCCCGUAAAGAUACAUCGCGUAUUGAAGUUAGGAUUGUUCGCUUGUGGAGAAACUAUAACAAAGAAUCAGGAAACACCAUUGAAAUGGUUUUUGUUGAUGAAGAAGUAAGUAUAAAUCACACAUAAUUUCAUUUUUUUUGAAAGCAUCGUUUAUGAUUCAUUUCGAGAUAUAUACUUAUGAUGCGUUUAUAAAACUCUUAUUUUUUUUGUGACCAGGGGACAAGAAUUCAUGCUUCAGUUGGUGAACAACUCAUCAAAUCACUUAUUCACAAUACUCUUAUAUUCCUACCGACGCCUCACUGAGAAAGAUGAAUUUGUUGUCUUGGCAACUGAUGGGAUAUGGGAUGUAUUGACGAAUGAAGAAGUUGUGGAGAUUGUAGCGAAAGCACCAACACAUUGCACAGCUGGUCGAGCCUUGGUGGAAGCUGCAGUGAGGAAUUGGAGAUGGAAGUUCCGCACUUCAAAAGUCGAUGACUGCGCUAUAGUUUGCCUCUUCCUUGACUCGAAACCAGACAAAUUAUCAACUGCUUCUUUCUCAGUGGAUAAACACAUCAGCAAUGGCCUUACUGAACCUGACACAACAUCAACGUCAACUCCAGGCUCGGGAACCGAAUCACUUGAGCUCAAAGGAGUCGACAGAAUCGACACAAUCGUGACAACCAAAGAGUAGGGAGAUAGAACUGAGGCAUGAGGUGAAAAUGUGAGAUUAGACUUUGUCUAUCUCUCUCUCCCUUUCAGUUUUUUUAGUCUCUAAAUGUCUCUUAUGCUCUAUGUUCCCGUCAAAAGUCAUUGUUUGUGUAUAUAACAAUGCUAAUACUUUUGCUACGGUCUCUCUUUUUUUUGUCCUUUUUUUUGUAAAUAAAUUUCUGAAGCCGCAUUUCUGUUUGUUUGAGCAAUUUUAUAUGUUAGAAACCACAUCUUCUUUUUAGACCCAAAGUGAUGUUCAGAGUGU